GACGAACUGUUCUAACGUUAUUCGGAAUCACUGGGCUUAAAGGGCGCGUAGGCUGUUUGUUAAGCGGGGUCUGAAAUCCCUCGGCUCAACCGAGGAACUGGGCUUCGAACUGGCAGACUAGAGUGAAGUAGGGGUAAGCGGAACUUGCGGUGGAGCGGUGAAAUGCUUUGAUAUCGCAAGGAACACCGGCGGCGAAGGCGGCUUACUGGGCUUCAACUGACGCUUAAGCGCGAAAGCUAGGGUAGCGAACGGGAUUAGAUACCCGGGUAGUCCCUGAGCGGGGCUGG
rnacentral:rRNA from 1 species